rnacentral:rRNA from 1 species
AGCGUAGGCGGUUUGGUAAGUCAGAUGUGAAAUCCCGGGGCUCAACCCCGGAACUGCAUCCGAUACUGCCGGACUUGAGUAAUGGAGGGGUAGCUGGAAUUCUCGGUGUAGCAGUGAAAUGCGUGGAUAUCGAGAGGAACACUCGUGGCGAAGGCGAGCUACUGGACAUUUACUGACGCUGAGGCUCGAAGGCCAGGGUAGCGAAAG